AACGCGAAGAACCUUACCUACUCUUGACAUCCAGAGAAUUCAGCAGAGAUGCUUUAGUGCCUUCGGGAACUCUGAGACAGGUGCUGCAUGGCUGUCGUCAGCUCGUGUCGUGAGAUGUUGGGUUAAGUCCCGCAACGAGCGCAACCCUCAUCCUUAGUUGCCAUCAGGUAAUGCUGAGCACUUUAAGGAAACUGCCAGUGAUAAGCUGGAGGAAGAUGGGGAUGAUGUCAAGUCAUCAUGGCCUUUAUGAAGUGGGUUACACACGUGCUACAAUGGUGUCUACAGUGGGCUGCAAGGUGCGCAAACCUAAGCUAAUCCCUAAAAGACAUCUCAGUUCGGAUUGUACUCUGCAACUCGAGUGCAUGAAGUUGGAAUCGCUAGUAAUCGUGGAUCAGCAUGCCACGGCGAAUACGUUCCCGGGCCUUGUACACACCG
rnacentral:rRNA from 1 species